rnacentral:rRNA from 1 species
AUGGAACGUUGGCGGUGUGCCUAAUACAUGCAAGUCGAACGGAGUUAAUAGCAAUAUUGACUUAGUGGCGAACCGGGUGAGUAACGCGUUGGUGAUCUGCCUUGAAGUGUGGAAUAACGCUCCGAAAGGAGCGCUAAUACCGCAUGUGCUCUCAAUUUUUAGAAAGUUGAGAGGAAAGGAUUUAUUCGCUUCGAGAGGAGCCUGCGUCCCAUCAGCUGGUUGGUAGGGUAAAGGCCUACCAAGGCAAUGACGGGUAGGGGACCUGAGAGGGUGGCCCCCCACAAUGGAACUGAAACACGGUCCAUACACCUACGGGUGGCAGCAGUAGGGAAUAUUAGAAAUGGACGAAAGUCUGAUCUAGCAACACCGCGUGUGCGAAGAAGGCCUUCGGGUCGUAAAGCACUUUUUGGAAGGAAUAGGAAGGAAUGUACUUCCAGAAUAAGUCUCGGCUAACUACGUG